rnacentral:rRNA from 1 species
GUGGGGAAUAUUGCACAAUGGGCGCAAGCCUGAUGCAGCCAUGCCGCGUGUAUGAAGAAGGCCUUCGGGUUGUAAAGUACUUUCAGCGGGGAGGAAGGUGUUGUGGUUAAUAACCGCAGCAAUUGACGUUACCCGCAGAAGAAGCACCGGCUAACUCCGUGCCAGCAGCCGCGGUAAUACGGAGGGUGCAAGCGUUAAUCGGAAUUACUGGGCGUAAAGCGCACGCAGGCGGUCUGUCAAGUCGGAUGUGAAAUCCCCGGGCUCAACCUGGGAACUGCAUUCGAAACUGGCAGGCUAGAGUCUUGUAGAGGGGGGUAGAAUUCCAGGUGUAGCGGUGAAAUGCGUAGCGAUCUGGAGGAAUACCGGUGGCGAAGGCGGCCCCCUGGACAAAGACUGACGCUCAGGUGCGAAAGCGUGGGGAGCAAACAGGAUUAGAAACCCCUGUAGUCC